UACGUAGGGUGCAAGCGUUAAUCGGAAUUACUGGGCGUAAAGCGUGCGCAGGCGGUUAUGUAAGACAGAUGUGAAAUCCCCGGGCUUAACCUGGGAACUGCGUCUGAUACUGGAAGGCUUGAGUAUGGGAGAGGGAUGUAGAAUUCCAGGUGUAGCGGUGAAAUGCGUAGAUAUCUGGAGGAAUACCGGUGGCGAAGGCGGCAUCCUGGACCAUUACUGACGCUGAGGCGCGAAAGCUAGGGGAGCAAACGGG
rnacentral:rRNA from 1 species